UUUUUUCUUUUGCUAUGGUAUAAGGUUAUUGGAAAAAUUUCAGGGUGGGCCGCGGCUCACCCUGUCCACCCUUUAGCUCCGCCACUGUGUGCGGCGACACCUGGUACAACUUGAAAUAGGUGGUGCAACAGUCCAACCAGAUGCGCGGGGCAUCACCCUUGAACCAUGUAAAGUCAUGCUUCGGUGGCUUGAUGAAGUGGUCGCCGGUGGUGAAAGUACGUGGAUGUCGACUAGAUGGGGUUUGUGAGUAGGGGCUUUAAAAAUAAUUACGAUUUAGGCUUGAACAAAUGCGGUAUAAAACUAAUGUUUAAUUAGUCAAGCACAAAACCUAAAAUAACUAGGCUCACCUAUGUGCACCAACAAUUUAUGCUAAGAAAGAUAGACAACUAAGUGAUAUCAAGACAUAUAACAAGAAACAAUAUGGCUAUCACAAAGUAAAGUACAUAAGUAAAGGGCUUGGGUAAGAGGUAACCGAGGUACAUGGAGAAGACGAUGUAUCCCGAAGUUCACACCCUUGCGGAUGCUAAUCUCCGUUUGAAGCGGUGUGGAGGCACAAUGCUCCCCAAAAAGCCACUAAGGCUACUUUAAUCUCCUCACGCCCUCGCAUAAUGCAAUAUGCCCUGAUUCCACUAAGGGACCCUUGAGGGCGGCCACCGAACCCGUACAAACAAGGUUGGGGCAAUCUCCACAACUUAAUUGGAGGAUCCCAACAACACCAAAUGGAUCGUGGCUCCAAGGUGACCUCAAAUGCUCGGGGCAAUCUCCACAACUUAAUUGGAGACCCCGACGCUUGUCCGAAGCUUUACACCAUAAUGAUUGAG
rnacentral:lncRNA from 1 species